CAGCCGCUUCGAUCGGCCGCUUCGAUCGGCCGCUUCGAUCGGUCGCUUCGAUCGGUCGCUUCGAUCGGUCGCUUC
rnacentral:tRNA from 1 species